rnacentral:rRNA from 1 species
UUUUCUGCAGGUACCGUCACUUUCGCUUCUUCCCUGCUAAAAGANGUUUACAACCCGAAGGCCGUCAUCCCCCACGCGGCGUUGCUGCAUCAGGCUUGCGCCCAUUGUGCAAUAUUCCC